UGAGUUUACGCUCUACAACCCUUUGUGAACAUACCUAUAACUGUUGCUUCGGCGGGUAGGGUCUCCGCGACCCUCCCGGCCUCCCGCCUCCGGGCGGGUCGGCGCCCGCCGGAGGAUAACCAAACUCUGAUUUAACGACGUUUCUUCUGAGUGGUACAAGCAAAUAAUCAAAACUUUUAACAACGGAUCUCUUGGUUCUGGCAUCGAUGAAGAACGCAGCGAAAUGCGAUAAGUAAUGUGAAUUGCAGAAUUCAGUGAAUCAUCGAAUCUUUGAACGCACAUUGCGCCCGCCAGCAUUCUGGCGGGCAUGCCUGUUCGAGCGUCAUUUCAACCCUCAAGCUCUGCUUGGUGUUGGGGCCCUACAGCCGAUGUAGGCCCUCAAAGGUAGUGGCGGACCCUCCCGGAGCCUCCUUUGCGUAGUAACUUUACGUCUCGCACUGGGAUCCGGAGGGACUCUUGCCGUAAAACCCCCCAAUUUUCCAAAGGUUGACCUCGGAUCAGGUAGGAAUACCCGCUGAACUUAAGCAUAUCAAUA
rnacentral:rRNA from 1 species